UACGUAGGGGGCAAGCGUUGUCCGGAAUCAUUGGGCGUAAAGAGCGUGUAGGCGGCUCGAUAAGUCUGCUGUGAAAGUCCAGGGCUCAACCCUGGAAGGCCGGUGGAAACUGUCGGGCUAGAGUCCGGAAGAGGCGAGUGGAAUUCCCGGUGUAGCGGUGAAAUGCGCAGAUAUCGGGAGGAACACCAAUGGCGAAGGCAGCUCGCUGGGACGGUACUGACGCUGAGGUGCGAAAGCGUGGGGAGCAAACAGG
rnacentral:rRNA from 1 species